rnacentral:rRNA from 1 species
UACCAGCACCCCGAGUGGUCGGGAAGAUUAUUGGGCCUAAAGCAUCCGUAGCCGGCCUUACAAGUCCUCCGUUAAAUCCAGCUGCUUAACAGAUGGGCUGCGGAGGAUACUAUAAGACUAGGAGGCAGGAGAGGCAAGCGGUACUCAGUGGGUAGGGGUAAAAUCCGUUGAUCCAUUGAAGGCCACCAGUGGCGAAGGCGGCUUGCCAGAAUGCGCUCGACGGUGAGGGAUGAAAGCUGGGGGAGCAAACCGG